rnacentral:tmRNA from 1 species
GGGGGCGACUGGCUUCGACCGGGCAGGUUGAGGUCGGAGUGGCGUGUCGAGGUUGUCAGGAGGCCUCGUAAAACACCUGGCGAACCCUUUAGAUGCCAAUGAUGGCUAUCGCCUGGCUGCCUAACUAAGGCAACCCGUCGGCCGGCAACGCCUGCUAGCCGAACCGACGCAAUAGCAGGCUGGUUCCGGGGUUCCCGUCUGGCGGCACCGGGACGAGACUAAGCCGGGCUCGGCGAGCGGAUGACCUGUCGGUUGGUCUGCCGUGAGCUCAAACUGAAAUCGACCGACUACACACGUAGAGGCUCCGGCUGAAAUGCUUCGGGACGGGGGUUCGAUUCCCCCCGCCUCCAA